GCCCUUUCCAACGCACCGCUUGAGAGGCUGAGAGGGAGUCGCACGCUAAUCUCCUUCUUCGUGUGUAAAACCUCAAAUGGCCGUUUAAGCUCUCCCAAUUAAUUUUCCGUGACAUUUUUGCAGAAAGAUAAAUUCGAUGGCGGGUUCGGUUAUGCUGCAAAGCCUGUGCUGCAUAACCGUACAAUCCCCAAAUUGUUACAAGAAUCAAUCCCUAGCUUUCACCCACUCUCAGUUCUUCUCCUCCAAUUCAUCUUUAAGGCUAAAGAAGCAGUCUUUGCUCUCAGCUAUUCGGAUUAAGAGGCAGAGGACUCAGAAUCAUCGCUUUGUUGUUCCUAUUGCAUUUGCUUCACAGUCCAACUUCUUCAACGCUCUGCAAACGGCAUGGAAGGUUGGGCGAGAUGGAGUUGAGGCAGGAACCAAUCUCGUGCCGAAUUCAGUACCGAGACCAGUUGCAAGGGUUUCCGUGACUAUGGUGGCGUUGACUCUUUCACUAUUUGUGCUCAAAUCUUUCCUGUCUACAGCUUUCUUUGUGCUGCACCUCCACAAUGCACCAAUGCCCAAUCCAACUCACAGAAGAUGACUUACGCCAGAGACGAAGCGGGUGGAAGCAACAACGGCGAUGGUGCAGGCGGAUUUCAUAGAGUGCAAGCAGAGCGUGACCUAGAAUCCAAUUGGGAACUCAAUCUCGCGCAAAAACUCGAAGAGUAUCUAGGUGGAAGCAACGUUAGCAAUGGAGGUGGAUUUCAUAGAGUGCAACCAGAGUGUGACCUAGAAUCCAAUUGGGAAGUCAAUCUCGCACAAAAACUUGAAGAGUUUUUGCUCAAGAUUUGCUCUGGUGACAUGCCCACUGAAGCAGGAGGCCAUGUCAUUGUUAUUUUUGCAGAAGGCUACGAUGGGACUUGUAUACUUUAUAUUCAUUGCUUUGAAUAAUGAUGGAGGGCCGAGGAGUGGAGGCACCACCUCGACACCAAAGGAGGACGGGAUGGACGACAGUCUAGAAGAAGCCAGAAGAAUCAUGGAGA